rnacentral:rRNA from 1 species
AUACGUAGGGGGCGAGCGUUGUCCGGAAUUACUGGGCGUAAAGGGUGCGUAGGCGGUUUUUUAAGUCAGAUGUGAAAUCCCCGGGCUUAACUCGGGUGGUGCAUUUGAAACUGGGAGACUAGAGUGCAGGAGAGGGAAGCGGAAUUCCUAGUGUAGCGGUGAAAUGCGUAGAUAUUAGGAGGAACACCAGUGGCGAAGGCGGCUUUCUGGACUGUAACUGACGCCGAGGCACGAAAGCGUGGGGAGC